rnacentral:rRNA from 1 species
GACGAACGCUGGCGGCGUGCUUAACACAUGCAAGUCGAACGGAAAGUCCCUGCUUUUGUGGGGUGCUCGAGUGGCGAACGGGUGAGUAACACGUGAGUAACCUGCCCUUGACUUUGGGAUAACUUCAGGAAACUGGGGCUAAUACCGGAUAGGAGCUCCUGCUGCAUGGUGGGGGUUGGAAAGUUUCGGCGGUUGGGGAUGGACUCGCGGCUUAUCAGCUUGUUGGUGGGGUAGUGGCUUACCAAGGCUUUGACGGGUAGCCGGCCUGAGAGGGUGACCGGCCACAUUGGGACUGAGAUACGGCCCAGACUCCUACGGGAGGCAGCAGUGGGGAAUAUUGCACAAUGGGCGGAAGCCUGAUGCGGCAACGCCGCGUGCGGGAUGACGGCCUUCGGGUUGUAAACCGCUUUCGCCUGUGACGAAGCGUGAGUGACGGUAAUGGGUAAAGAAGCACCGGCUAACUACGUG